UACGGAGGAUGCAAGCGUUAUCCGGAUUUAUUGGGUUUAAAGGGUGCGUAGGCGGAUUAAUAAGUCAGCGGUGAAACUCACAGGCUCAACCUGUGCCGUGCCGUUGAAACUGUUUAUCUUGAAUGCGGAUGCUGUGGGAGGAAUGUGUAGUGUAGCGGUGAAAUGCAUAGAUAUUACACAGAACACCGAUUGCGAAGGCAUCUCACAAAGCCGUGAUUGACGCUGAGGCACGAAAGUGUGGGGAUCAAACAGGAUUAGAUACCCUGGUAGUCCACUACUGUAAACGAUGAUAACUCGCUGCCGGCGAUAUAUAGUCGGUGGCCCAGCGAAAGCGAUAAGUUAUCCACCUGGGGAGUACGACCGCAAGGUUGAAACUCAAAGGAAUUGACGGGGGCCCGCACAAGCGGAGGAACAUGUGGUUUAAUUCGAUGAUACGCGAGGAACCUUACCCGGGCUCGAACGGCAGAUGACGUAUACAGAGACGUAUAUUCUCUUCGGAGCGUCUGUCGAGGUGCUGCAUGGUU
rnacentral:rRNA from 1 species